AGGACGAACGCUGGCGGCGUGCUUAACACAUGCAAGUCGAGCGGUAAGGCCUUUCGGGGUACACGAGCGGCGAACGGGUGAGUAACACGUGGGUGAUCUGCCCUGCACUUCGGGAUAAGCCUGGGAAACUGGGUCUAAUACCGGAUAUGACCUCCUAUCGCAUGGGUGGGUGGUGGAAAGAUUUAUCGGUGCAGGAUGGGCCCGCGGCCUAUCAGCUUGUUGGUGGGUAAUGGCCUACCAAGGCGACGACGGGUAGCCGCCCUGAGAGGGUGACCGGCCACACUGGGACUGAGACACGGCCCAGACUCCUACGGGAGGCAGCAGGUGGGAAUAUUGCACAAUGGGACGAAAGCCUGAUGCAGCGACGCCGGCGUAGAGGGAUGGACCGGCCGUUUCGGGGUUCGUAAACCGUUCUUUCGAGCGA
rnacentral:rRNA from 1 species